AAAUAGAUACCCCGGGUAGUCCACGCCGUAAAACGAUGAGUGCUAAGUGUUAGGGGGGUUUCCGCCCCUUAGUGCUGCAGCUAACGCAUUAAGCACUCCGCCUGGGGAGUACGGUCGCAAGACUGAAACUCAAAGGAAUUGACGGGGGCCCGCACAAGCGGUGGAGCAUGUGGUUUAAUUCGAAGCAACGCGAAGAACCUUACCAGGUCUUGACAUCCCAUUGACCACUAUGGAGACAUAGUUUUCCCUUCGGGGACAACGGUGACAGGUGGUGCAUGGUUGUCGUCAGCUCGUGUCGUGAGAUGUUGGGUUAAGUCCCGCAACGAGCGCAACCCUUGUUCUUAGUUGCCAUCAUUUAGUUGGGCACUCUAAGGAGACUGCCGGUGACAAACCGGAGGAAGGUGGGGAUGACGUCAAAUCAUCAUGCCCCUUAUGACCUGGGCUACACACGUGCUACAAUGGAACGGUCAAACGGUUGCCAACCCGCGAGGGGAGCUAAUCCGAUAAAACCGUUCUCAGUUCGGAUUGUAGGCUGCAACUCGCCUACAUGAAGGACCG
rnacentral:rRNA from 1 species